AAAACCAUUCAGGUGCGCAUCAAGGUCGAGUAACCGCGCUAGCCACGUCUCCUUUUACUGUACCGCACCUCGCCUGUAAAAAGUAGCGAUGGCAUCGGCGAAAACGCAUCCUCUUUUCCUCGCAGCCCGCUCUCCACCGUGAUGCUAGGGUUCCUAGCCGCCGCCGCGCGCACAGCCGGCCGGAGCCACCUCCACUCCGGUGCCCAUCGAUAGUCCUCUUCGCCGUCGCCCGGAGCUGCUCCGCCCAUCUCUGUCCGUUCCCGAGCGGACUCGGCCCACCCAGCAGCCCAUCCACGCCGGCCGGCCGGAGCUGCGCCGCCCACCACAGCAAAGGGGUGGGGGAGGGGGGGGGGGGCGUAGAGGAUGGGGGCAGCAACGUCACGCGGUGGAGGUUGCCGGUACGCCGUACUCUGUGUGCACCUCCAUGGGAUCCCCACGACACACGGCUCUGCCAUGAGGUUGUGGUAGAGUUGGUCUUCUUCCCCGCUGGCCAGAAGAUGCAAGUGUCUACCCACUUCUUUUCCUUUCUCUCUAUAGAUAGAAAUUGUGCUCUCUCUAAGAAUUAUUUUUACUUUUUAAUGUGUUAUUACUUUUGUUCUUGCUGAUGCCUUAGGCCGAUGUGCUGCUUUGAUUCAGUUUUCUCUUCUUUGAGGCAUGGUAGUAUAAAAAGUUGAACUUAACUGUUGCAGGUCACCACCUGUGGCAAAGAUUAGCAGGGAGUGCAAGGUUGUUGUCGGAUGCUCAGGAAUGCAGCGGGAGUUCGCCUGUUCUCGGCUUCCUGUUCGGAGUUGUAUAGUGCCACCCCUGUAGACUCCACUGGCAGCGGGAUCCAGGUCCAACUCCAGGAUAUUUGAUUCAGUAAUCAGCUUCAGUUCCAAGUUUCAGUGCUUCAGAAAUAUUGGUUUUGUCUGCUCGAGGUCGGCCAUGGAGGUUUGGCCCGACCAAUGGAUGGAUGGGGAUGAAACCCUAGGCCAACACCCACCCAUGGAUGGAUGGGAUGGGGCGACGACGACGGCAACAACGGCCUUCUCUCGGUGCUUGCUGAUGUGGUUGCCAUCGACGCCGGCGACGAGUUGCAGCACGUAGACAUCAAAGGCUGCGGGUGUGACGGAGGAGCACCAUGGCGGGCGUGCAGGCCAUGUCUCUCUAUGUUGAACAAUAGGUUAAGGGAGCAUUCCUCAAUUUUUUUGGGGUCCAAUGGAACAGCAGGAGUGUGGAGAAUUAACGCACUCGAGGACUCUGGAAUAUGGAUGGAGAGAACGACAGUUGAAGACAUGGAUAUUGUUGUCCGAGCACAUAUAAAGGGAUGGAAGUUUCUGUUAUGGUUUAUGACUUUUUUGUAUGGCAUUCAUAUCUUUACUGAUCAUUCAAGCAGUGCUACACGCAUUUCCAUUCAGUGUUAGUGUGAAUUGCUGGAGCACAAUAUGACUCAUGCUCAUCUCCAUGUCAAUGCUAGGAGGAGAAAAACUACAUUCAGAGGUUACGGAAUGGCAAUGGGUGGGUUACCUCCCAGGAGCAGAUGACUGGCAUGGUUAGUGAUCACUAGGCCAUGAAUCUCAUGGAUCCCAUGAUACAGGUAUCUGGUCCAGAUCCGACGGAGACAAGCAAAAUCGUGCUGUUGCUUCUUCUUUUGAUUGAAAAUCCAGGUGAAACCUUUCAGGAACUCAGGACGACACGCAUUGAUUAUAUUUCAUUGUGAUGGCUGCUGCCGACACAGCUACUAUGGGUACACGCAACUUCUAUUUCGCUCGUCACCGGAAACCACCGCCCAGAUCCAUCUCUUCUCAACCAUGCCGACGUGGUGGUUAGGGGUGCUUACAACUUGUGAGGACCUGCGUUCUCGCUGUUGAUCCGUGAUGGCAUGGCCUCCCCGUGCCCUAGUCGCGUUCUAGCUGAUGGUUUGGGUCCACCAGCGGAGGGAGAGGGGGACGACCUCUGUCGCUCCUUCUCUCUAGCCUCUUCAUCUUGAUGAAGCCGUAGGAGUAGAGGGGCACACGCGUAAUGGAUCUGCUCCAAGCACCUCAAGCCACACAUCUUCAAGGUGAUCACUUCAUCCACAUCCAAUGUCAGUUUCCGCGUUUACUCCUUUUUUGGGGUGGAUGGAUGCAUGAUACUCUGAUAGUAGCAGGCAGUUGUAGUACAUACUACAAAUUGGCACGCUGAAACUAGCCUGCAAUUUUCUCGGAAAUUUUUAUGUCACAUGCUAGUGGAGUGGAUUAUAACAUUUCAGUGGAACAAAUUGUAGGUAUUUCUUGUUUGCUUCUCAAAGAAAAGGAUGUUAUAUUAACUUGGUGUUGCUGUUCUUGGUAGGAUGAACAAAUAGCACCUUGCAGGCUCUUGAUUUUUUCUGUGAUUCCCUUUGAAAGGAUAUAAGUUUGCAGUUUUUCUAUCAGUUCUUCUGAAGCAAACAAUAUGUGAUGGAUAGCUACAAUUAUAGCUUCUUUUUA